CAAUCAAACGUUAAAUUUAAAAGUAAAAUUGAAAAACAAUUUCAAUUUAGAUAUUUGAUUUGAUAUACUUUUAACACAUCUAAGACACGAAUACGCCUACUCCUGUAUUAAGAUUACAAACAAUUCAAAAUAUAAACAUGUAAGUAAUAUUUCUUUAAAAGCUGUAAAGAAUUUUUAUAUGAAAUACCCGUUAUUUUAAACCGAAACGGCGAAACAUUAGUAACGCCUAUUGUGUUUGAAAAUAUUUUAAUAAAUGUUAAAAAUCACUACUGAGAUAUCUGUGAGCUGUGACUGGCGCUUUAAUAGUCUAUUACAACAAUUGGUACCGAAAACACGCCGACAGUUCCCGAGCAAACCCGAGCGCGUGUGACGUCACAAUGUAAAUUUUUCCUCAUUGUAGCACACAGAUGAUACAAUGUUUUGACGUUUAACCGAUAAUAUCUCGUUAUUAUCGUCUAUAUAUGGAUAAAUAUAUUAAAAAUGUCGAACCUUAAAACUUAUUGUGCUUGCUUCGUGCCGUUAUGUACGAAUACUACAAAAACAACCGCCGAAAAAAUAUUGUAAAUGUUUCUCAAGAUGAUAAACGUCAUAAUCAAUGGUUCCAAGCAGUGCGACGACCUAAUCCCAAAACAACAUAACAUUUUUUUGUUGUGAAGAUCAUUUUGAUCGCUUUUAGGAACUAAUAAUACCAUUAGGAGUAAAAACAACCAGUAAAAGCAGAUCGUUUAUAUGCGGCCAAAAUGGAGUUUCGAAAACGACAGACCCUUGAAGAACUCCUGCGUUUACCACUGAUGGCUCGGACGAGUAAUCAUAUAACUACACGCAAAG